CUGCGGGUCCGCGGCAGGCGCGGGCCGGGAGCUGUCACCGCUUGUUUCCUGUCCCGGGGGCGGGCGUGCUGCGGGUGGGAGGCCCUGACUGUUUGUUUAGGCAGGUAAGAUGACUUUGUCCCUGCCAUCCAAGGGCCUUUCCAGACCGAAGAAAGGUCCGUGUAUUCAUUCAGCAGAUAUGGUGGAGCAUCUAACAUGAGCUGAGCGUCCCAGGGGUAAAUGAACUUCUACAGAGAGGACCUUACAGAGAAGUGUGAGACUAGAGAACACUUGCCGUCCACGGCCUCCCUUUAAGCCAGCCAUCUAUCCAGGUAUUUUGGUCAUUUUCACGCCUCAUCUGAAGUAAGCUUAGCUUGUUCUUUUUCUUAGACUAAAAGAUGGGUUCCCCAAUUCUCUCUCUCUCUCUCUCUCUCUCUCUCUCUGUGUGUGUGUGUGUGUGUGUGUGUGUGUGUGUGUAAAUCAUAGCCAGUUUGGGGCCAGCCUGGGCUACAUGAGACCCUGUUUUAAAAAACAAAAAUCAAGUAUAUCAUUGCUGUUCUUUAGAUUAGCAAUGAGGUGUGAGAGGCAACCAUGGCUGUUUCUACAGAUGGGUGCUCAGGCAAGCAAGUUUUAUACAUGGCGAGAGACUUUUCUGGGUACCGUUCUCUUAGCCAGGAUCUAGAAGCUAGAUGACAGUAGAAGGGGUUUUCUUUGGACUGCCAGCUCACAAAUAGUGACACAGAGACUUAUAUGAAAGCUUGGCCUUAGCUUGUCCCGCUUGCUCUUAUAGCUUAAAUUAACCCAUUUAUUUUUAAUCUAUAUUCUGUUGCAUGGCUUGUUACCUCAUCUCUCUGUACUGCCCAUGCUGCUUCCUCCCUAUCUGAUUGGCGACUCCACCUUCUUCCCAGAGUUCUCUCUCUGCCCGGAAGUCCCACCUAUACCUCCUGCCUAGCUAUUGGCCAUUCCGCUUUUUACUACACCAACCACAGCAAGACUUUUUCACUCAGUGCACAAACAUCCCACAGCAGGUGACCGUCACCCUCAACGCAUAGACACACAGACACACUUACACUUACACAUUCCGUGACAACCACCAACUAAGUGAAACUGAUUUACAAGGGAGGAAAGGAAUGGGGGUACCCAGCAUGAAGGAAACGCACCUGGCUCUCGUCCUGCCUGAAUGCUUUCCUGCAAUGAAGAACUGGUCACACUGUUUUCCCCCUUCUCUAGGUCAACUGAUGUUUUGGGGCAUGUGCUGUGCACAUGCGCUAUACAAUAGGAAACAAAAUAUCUCUGGUCUCUGGCCUAAGAAGCUUACAGUCCCAGUCUGAGCUGGGUCAUUCAUACCUGUUAUCAUACAGUGCUCGGGAGGCUGAGGUGGGAGGACUCAGUUCAAGUCCAGCCUGGGCUACAAAGCAAGACCCUUCCUGGAUAAUAUAAUAGAAAGCUAGUGUGGGAAAGACUGGUAUAACCAUCUACCAGUCCAAUUAAACUCCAACCAACCGUACAUCCAUCUUCACAAACUGAACUAAGCCUUAAAGAAUGACUACUUCAGUGUAUAAAAAUCCCCCGGGGGCAGGAGGGAUCUUGCACCGCUAAGGAUCUGGAGGAAAGAGAUGGAGAUGAGAGGCCUCAGAGGCCCAAGGUCCUGCAGAACUGUAUAGGAUAGGUCCUCCAUUAUGAUCCUAAGAGCAAUGGUGACUAAUGGAGGUCCCUGGGGUGAUGGGAGCCAUGAGCCCAAGUGACCCUUGACACACAUGCCGCCAUAUUUGGGCUUCUCUCCUCUUUUCCUAGAUCUAGGCCUUGCUUAAGUCUCCAUAGCACCAGAACCUCUUCUCACAGAUACCAGAACCUCUUCUCAGAAAUCAGGUGACCAUGCUACAGUUAGGCAGUUAGGCAAGAAUAGAUAAUCCUCAUAUCAACAUUCCCUGCUGGCUGAACAACCCAUGAGUAAAGUCCCCUCCCUGCUUGCACCCCCCUUUGCCCCCGUCUAUAUAUGCCUUAAGAGGAACAUAAAAUUUUGGAGCUUGAUCAGA